AUUGAACGCUGGCGGAAUGCUUUACACAUGCAAGUCGAACGGUAGAGGGGGCAACCCCUUGAGAGUGGCGAACGGGUGAGUAAUAUAUCGGAACGUGCCCAGUCGUGGGGAUAACGUAGCGAAAGUUACGCUAAUACCGCAUACGAUCUAAGGAUGAAAGCGGGGGAUCGCAAGACCUCGCGCGAUUGGAGCGGCCGAUAUCAGAUUAGGUAGUUGGUGAGGUAAAGGCUCACCAAGCCAACGAUCUGUAGCUGGUCUGAGAGGACGACCAGCCACACUGGAACUGAGACACGGUCCAGACUCCUACGGGAGGCAGCAGUGGGGAAUUUUGGACAAUGGACGCAAGUCUGAUCCAGCCAUUCCGCGUGCAGGAUGAAGGCCCUCGGUUGUAAACUGCUUUUGUACGGAACGAAAAGGUUUCUAUUAAUACUAGGAGCUCAUGACGGUACCGUAAGAAUAAGCACCGGCUAACUACGUGCCAGCAGCCGCGG
rnacentral:rRNA from 1 species